CCACGCCAGCACAGCUCGCCUUCCCCUUCACGCGUUGGCAUAGCUUGUCCCGAGAGCCAAGACAUACGAGGGCAGCGUUGAACAGCAGCUGCGAGAUGGCAGCACCGGCUGGAGGAGAUGGAUGCGUGUACAUGUUCUGAAGACGGGGAUGCAAGCAACCUUGUAUGUAAAGAUAGGAAAAAGGAAUUGCAGUCAGAGGAGAGUGUACGUUUGCCUUCCACAAAUACAAUCACAGAUACAAUUAAAGCCAC